rnacentral:rRNA from 1 species
UGUUCCUACGGGGGGCAGCAGUAGGGAAUUUUCGGCAAUGGGGGGAACCCUGACCGAGCAACGCCGCGUGGAGGAAGAAGGAAUUCGUUCUGUAAACUUCUGUUAUAAAGGAAGAAAGACGGAUGGAGGAAAUGACAUCCGAGUGACGGUACUUUAUGAGAAAGCCACGGCUAACUACGUGCCAGCAGCCGCGGUAAUACGUAGGUGGCAAGCAUUAUCCGGAAUUUUUGGGCGUAAAGAGGGAGCAGGCGGCCGCAAAGGUCUGUGGUGAAAGACUGAAGCUUAACUUCAGUAAUCCGUAGAAG